rnacentral:rRNA from 1 species
UACGGAGGAGCAGUGGGAAUAGUUAGCUACAAUGGGACGCGAAGCCUAGACUGCAGCCAUCGCCGCGUCGUAUGAAGAAGGAACCUUCCGGGUUGUAAAGUACUUUCUAGUCGUGAGGAAGGUGUUAAGGUUAAUAACCUUAGCAAUUGACGUUAGCGACAGAAGAAGCACCGGCUAACUCCGUGCCAGCAGCCGCGGUAAUACGGAGGGUGCGAGCGUUAAUCGGAAUUACUGGGCGUAAAGGGCACGCAGGCGGUUAAUUAAGUUGGAUGUGAAAUCCCCGGGCUUAACCUGGGAAUGGCAUUCAAGACUGGUUAGCUAGAGUCUUGUAGAGGGGGUAGAAUUCCAUGUGUAGCGGUGAAAUGCGUAGAGAUGUGGAGGAAUACCGGUGGCGAAGGCGGCCCCCUGGACAAAGACUGACGCUCAUGUGCGAAAGCGUGGGGAGCAAACAGGGAUUAGAUA